rnacentral:rRNA from 1 species
AUUGAACGCUGGCGGCAGGCCUAACACAUGCAAGUCGAGCGAGCGGCGGACGGGUGAGUAAUGUCUGGGAAUCUGCCCGAUAGAGGGGGAUAACUACUGGAAACGGUAGCUAAUACCGCAUACCAUCAGAUGAACCCAGAUGGGAUUAGCUAGUAGGUGAGGUAAUGGCUCACCUAGGCGACGAUCCCUAGCUGGUCUGAGAGGAUGACCAGCCACACUGGAACUGAGACACGGCCCAGACUCCUACGGGAGGCAGCAGUGGGGAAUAUUGCACAAUGGGCGCAAGCCUGAUGCAGCCAUGCCGCGUGUGUGAAGAAGGCCUUAGGGUUGUAAAGUACUUUCAGUCGGGAGGCGUUACCGACAGAAGAAGCACCGGCUAACUCCGUGCCAGCAGCCGCGGUAAUUC